rnacentral:rRNA from 1 species
AUGCAUAUUGAUGUGACGAUCGAAGAGGUUGACGGAUAUAAGUGGAGACUCACAGGUAUCUAUGGCGAGCCCAGACCCGAUCACAGGGAAGAGACGUGGCGACUGUUACGCACUCUACAUCAGCAAGAAAAGCUACCUUGGGUGUGUAUAGGGGAUUUCAAUGAGAUCCUAUACAACUUUGAGAAGCAAGGAGGGGUGCCCAGAGCUCACAGCCAAAUGGAUCGUUUUCAUGAUGCUUUAAACUUUUGUAACCUAAACGACCUGGGUUUCGAGGGGGACGUAUUUACUUGGCGUAAUAAUAAUUUCCGUUUGGAUGGUUAUAUUCAUGAGCGCCUGGACAGGGCUGUUGCAAAUCCACAAUGGUGUAUGCGUUUUCCAGGUUACAAGGUGCGGAACGGUUGCCCUGAACACUCUGACCAUCGCCCAGUUAUUCUCGACAUACAUGGUGCGGCCCAAAGAAGGAGACCACCGCCGAACAAUUUAAACAAAAGGUUUGAGGCACGCUGGCUUCUUGAGGAAGAUUGUGAGCAACUGGUGAUGGAGGCGUGGGAGGACGCAGCAAGGAAAGGUGAUGGCCGUGUGAUGGAACGACUUAAGUGUGUGUCCAGGAGUUUAGACAAGUGGAGCAGGGAAGUGUUGGGUGACCUGCAGAAGAGGAUAAAAAAGCUAAGGGCUGAACUCGAGGAGAGCCAUACAGGAGACCUAUCAGAAGCGGCAGUGAGAAAAGAACAAGUAUUGCGUUUCAAGCUCGGUCGUCUUGAGGAACAACUUGAUGUGUUUUGGAAACAGAGGGCUCAUGUGGGCUGGCUGACGAAAGGAGAUCGAAAUACGGAGUACUUUCAUGGUUUUGCCUCGACACGGAAGAGAGCCAACCGAAUCACAAAGCUAAGAGGAGAUGAUGGGGUGGAGGUAGAAGAGGAGGAGGGUUUGAAGGCCCUCAUUUCUAAUCAUUUCUUUGGCUUGUUUACCCCCAUGGCAGGUACAAACAUUGAAGAAGUUCUUCAACAUGUUCAACUGCGAGUCACACCCGAAAUGAACACUUUUCUCCGGAAUGAAUACACAGCCCGGGAGAUAAAGAGUGCACUGGAUGAUAUGGGUGACCUGAAGGCCCCAGGGGCUGAUGGUAUGCCUGCAGUAUUCUACAAGAGAUUUUGGGGUAUGGUGGGGGAGGUAGUGGUGCAAGAAGUCCUCCACGUGUUGCAGGGCGGUAGUAUACUGGAGGGAUGGAAUGAAACUAUUGUACUCAUCCCAAAGAUUCGGAACCCAAAUCGGAUUAAGGAUCUUCGCCCUAUUAGCCUAUGCAACGUGGUGUACAAACUUGUCUCCAAAGUCCUUGCCAAUCGGCUCAAGAUGAUCUUGGAUGAGCUCAUUUCGCCUAAUCAGAGUGCUUUCGUCCCAGGGCGUUUGAUCUCGGACAACACUAUAUUGGCUUACGAAAUGACACAUUUCAUGCGGAGAAAGAGAAGUGGAAAGGAUGUUUAUAUGGCUCUCAAGCUAGACAUGAGAAAAGCUUACGACCGCGUCGAAUGGCCAUUUCUGGAAGGGAUGAUGACACGGAUGGGCUUCGCGGAGGAGUUUGUGCAGCUUAUAAUGAAGUGCGUAACGACAGUCACCUACCGGUUCAGAGUGAAUGGGGACAGGGUGACCCGAUCUCACCAUAUCUCUUUCUCAUCUGCGCUGAGGGAUUUUCAGCAUUACUAA